rnacentral:lncRNA from 1 species
AGUUAACCCUCUCACGUCACCUAUUCCUCUCUGGUCAUAGAUACUGGAAAUAAUGACGAGAUGCUUGUGGGAACGUUCGCACGGAUAAUUUUUGCAGAUUGGUCGAAGAUACAGAGCUGUGAAAGCCUGUCUGCAGAUGACGAGGUCCCAAAGAAGAGCAGUGGUUCUCAGUCCUGGUCCUGGGGACUCAAAGGGAUGGAUGUUUUUGGCCUCAGCACUACACAGCCGAUUCAAAUGAUCCGCUCCUCAAGCUUCAAGUGAUACUUUGCAACUGGAGAUUCCUUCAAAACGAUUGCCUACAGUUACCGUGUAGGGCACUCCAAGGUUUGGAGACCAGGGCCAUCUUGGACUGCCUCCUAGGGGAAUUCAGGCAUGUGAAGGCUACCUGUGUCCUGCAUAACUUCAUGAGGUUGGACACGAGGAUCAGGAGGGGAUUUUCAGCUCGCCGCCGUAUGCCAGAGGAGAGGUGUGCUGCUCAGCAGAAUGUUUCAAGGAUGGGGACCAACAACUCAGCAAUCCGUGUUUGGGAGACCUUCACCUCCUACUUCGAAGAGGGUGCUGUUCCCUGGCAACACCAUAGACUACACUAUGCACAACCAAGGGAUAUUUUAAGAGCCAUCCACAUUGCAAUAAGAGUAUUCUUCCCUUUACUUAGCUAUUAAAUUCAGUUUCUCUCCCUUUGAUUUCUACUUCUCAGGUGAGGGUGCUGUCUGUACAAAAGCAAAACAAGCUCUUUUAAGAGUCACCCAUAUUGAUUUUUUUUUAACAAUUAGACACCCAAUAACCCACACCUACACAUUUGUGUAUCAGUCUGAUUGAUGGAUUGUGUUGUGCACUAAGCAGGCUCAGUUGUAUUACUGUGGCUCCUUCCACCUUCAAGGAAUAGGCAAGAAGACCAACCAUGGAGAAUAGUAAGACACUUCAAUAUUACUAUAACUACGCUCUAUUGUUUGUCCUAAUGUGUCUGUGCAUGCUUUUCAGUAUAAAGUACUCUUCAGCCACUUAGUGUGGACACCAGGUAAGGCCUGAUUCCUGUUGAACACGGUCUUUAACUACCUGAUUUUAACAGUAAGUCUGUCUCCUUCACUUUAUCCCUCUACCCUUCUCCCUAAAUCCUGUAGGUUAUAUCAACUGUGUCUGUGAACCCCUCUCUCAUCUGAACUGGCUACAUAGAGGGCACAUCAUGAUCAGAGGUAUAUUUUGAUGUGAGAGAGGAUGCCAACCCCCAGUCUCGUCAUCACCACCUCACCCGCUCUUAAGAUAACCUUCGGACCAACUGGGUGCACAAGCCUGGUUAGGAGACACAGCUAGAGACACUAUUAUGUAAUUGUGAUGAACGGCGACAAUAUUAAGUUUAGUAGCACUGUAAUUCAUUAAUCAUAUGCUGUCUUCCCUGCUCCUCUGUUCUUACCUCUUUCCCUUUGUCUUUUACACUCCCUCAUACCUCUCUCCCCACCUCCUUUCUUCCUCUGUUUUUAUAAUGCACACCAGAUUGAAGUAGAGAUUGAACUUGUAUUGAUAAUAUUACAAUUAUACUAUUUAUAAUGCAUGUAUUUAUAACACUUGGAUAAUGAACAUUUUCAAUAAAG